rnacentral:misc_RNA from 1 species
AACGCACAUUGCGCCCCCUGGUAUUCCGGGGGGCAUGCCUGUUCGAGCGUCAUUUCAACCCUCAAGCGUGAGCUUGGUAUUGGGCGCCGCCCGCGAGGGCGCGCCAGAAACAUGUAGGCAGUGUGCCCGCCUCCCAGCGUAGUCAACUUCCGCUGUCGAGAAAAGGUGCGCCCGCCCGAAAAACCUCUCUAUGGUUUGACCUCGGAUCAGGUAGGGAUACCCGCUGAACUUAA